AUAAGAAACUAAGGAAAUUAAAUAGGAAAUGGGAACACGUAAUUUCAAUUCAGUGGAAAUAUCUUAGCAUUUCGUACUGCAAAGGGCAGAAAGCCAGAAACACUCAUACAUACUGGUAAGCUCUGGUUUUAAAAAGCAGAUAGAUGAUGGAAGCAGAAUAUUUUUCUUUUUUUUCUUUUUUUAUGGAAAGAUUGGGGGUUCACUAGAGAUGAUGGAUCUCAAAAUUCUUUAAAAAAAUCAGAGGAAUUUUUCUUAUUUCAGAUGAGAAGGAUGUUAAGAUUGCUUACCUUGGUGAGUAGGUUGAUGGGGUAUGGUUGAAGUGAAAGUUUAAAUGGAGGAGGGUUCUUUUUCACUUAGAAAGAACACAUUUUGUCAAGGUAACCCUCAUAGGAAUAGAAUAUUCAAAAGGAUCCAAUACAUCCCCAAUUACUCCCCCAACAACGAGAGGAUCCCUACUUCCACUAGGCAUGGGAUAGUGUGCACACUAGUUUACUCAAAAUUUGGCUUAUGCUUUCUUAUAUACUCGUUUGCUUUGUUAUGAAUUAUGAACCCCGAUAUGAAGUCUUCUCUA